rnacentral:tRNA from 1 species
GGGACUAUAGCUCAGUGGAAGAGCACUUGCCUAGCAUGUAAGAAGCCCUGGGUUCAAGCCCCAGUUCUA